rnacentral:rRNA from 1 species
CCUACGGGCGGCAGCAGUGAGGAAUAUUGGUCAAUGGACGAGAGUCUGAACCAGCCAAGUAGCGUGAAGGAUGACUGCCCUAUGGGUUGUAAACUUCUUUUAUAUGGGAAUAAAACGUUCCACGUGUGGGAUUUUGUAUGUACCAUAUGAAUAAGGAUCGGCUAACUCCGUGCCAGCAGCCGCGGUAAUACGGAGGAUCCGGGCGUUAUCCGGAUUUAUUGGGUUUAAAGGGAGCGUAGGUGGAUUGUUAAGUCAGUUGUGAAAGUUUGCGGCUCAACCGGAAAAUUGCAGUUGAAACUGGCAGUCUUGAGUACACGAGAGGUGGGCGGAAUUCGUGGUGUAGCGGUGAAAUGCUUAGAUAUCACGAAGAACCCCGAUUGCGAAGGCAGUUCACUGCACUGCAACUGACACUGAGGCUCGAAAGUGUGGGUAUCAAACAGGAUUAGAUACCCCUGUAGUC